UGCUUCCGUAGUUCAAUGGAUAGAGCACCAGCCUCCGGAGCUGGGGAUGCAGGUUCGAAUCCUGCCGGGAGCGA
rnacentral:tRNA from 1 species